rnacentral:rRNA from 1 species
CCGUGCCGCAGCUAACGCAAUAAGUAUCCCACCUGGGGAGUACGAUCGCAAGGUUGAAACUCAAAGGAAUUGACGGGGGCCCGCACAAGCGGUGGAGUAUGUGGUUUAAUUCGACGCAACGCGAAGAACCUUACCAGGGCUUGACAUCCUACUAACGAACCAGAGAUGGAUUAGGUGCCCUUCGGGGAAAGUAGAGACAGGUGGUGCAUGGUUGUCGUCAGCUCGUGUCGUGAGAUGUUGGGUUAAGUCCCGCAACGAGCGCAACCCCUAUUGUUAGUUGCUACGCAAGAGCACUCUAGCGAGACUGCCGUUGACAAAACGGAGGAAGGUGGGGACGACGUCAAAUCAUCAUGCCCCUUACGUCCUGGGCCACACACGUACUACAAUGGCGGCCAACAAAGAGAGGCAAAGCCGCGAGGUGGAGCAAAUCUCAAAAAGCCGUCCCAGUUCGGAUCGCAGGCUGCAACCCGCCUGCGUGAAGUUGGAAUCGCUAGUAAUCGCGGAUCAGCAUGCCGCGGUGAAUACGUUCC